rnacentral:rRNA from 1 species
CGGAACGGGUGAGUAAUGCGUGACCAACCUGCCCCAUGCUCCAGAAUAGCUCUUGGGAAACGGGUGGUAAUGCUGGAUGCUCCAACUUGACGCAUGUCUUGUUGGGAAAGUGUUUAGUGGCAUGGGAUGGGGUCGCGUCCUAUCAGCUUGUAGGCGGGGUAAUGGCCCACCUAGGCUUCGACGGGUAGCCGGCCUGAGAGGGCGGACGGCCACAUUGGGACUGAGAUACGGCCCAGACUCCUACGGGAGGCAGCAGCC